GACGAACGCUGGCGGCGUGCUUAACACAUGCAAGUCGAACGGAAAGGCCCUGCUUUUGUGGGGUGCUCGAGUGGCGAACGGGUGAGUAACACGUGAGUAACCUGCCCUUGACUUUGGGAUAACUUCAGGAAACUGGGGCUAAUACCGGAUAGGAGCUCCUGCUGCAUGGUGGGGGUUGGAAAGUUUCGGCGGUUGGGGAUGGACUCGCGGCUUAUCAGCUUGUUGGUGGGGUAGUGGCUUACCAAGGCUUUGACGGGUAGCCGGCCUGAGAGGGUGACCGGCCACAUUGGGACUGAGAUACGGCCCAGACUCCUACGGGAGGCAGCAGUGGGGAAUAUUGCACAAUGUGCGGAAGCCUGAUGCAGCAACGCCGCGUGCGGGAUGACGGCCUUCGGGUUGUAAACCGCUUUCGCCUGUGACGAAGCGUGAGUGACGGUAAUGGGGAAAGAAGCACCGGCUAACUACGU
rnacentral:rRNA from 1 species